rnacentral:rRNA from 1 species
UACGUAGGGUGCGAGCGUUAAUCGGAAUUACUGGGCGUAAAGCGUGCGCAGGCGGUUGUGCAAGACAGAUGUGAAAUCCCCGGGCUCAACCUGGGAACUGCAUUUGUGACUGCACGGCUGGAGUGCGGCAGAGGGGGGAUGGAAUUCCGCGUGUGAGCAGUGAAAUGCGUAGAUAUGCGGAGGAACACCGAUGGCGAAGGCAAUCCCCUGGGCCUGCACUGACGCUCAUGCACGAAAGCGUGGGAGCAAACAGG